rnacentral:rRNA from 1 species
AUUGAACGCUGGCGGCAUGCCCUACACAUGCAAGUCGAACGGUAACAGGUCUUCGGAUGCUGACGAGUGGCGAACGGGUGAGUAAUACAUCGGAACGUGCCCAGACGUGGGGGAUAACGAGGCGAAAGCUUUGCUAAUACCGCAUACGAUCUAAGGAUGAAAGCAGGGGACCGCAAGGCCUUGUGCGUUUGGAGCGGCCGAUGGCAGAUUAGGUAGUUGGUGGGAUAAAAGCUUACCAAGCCGACGAUCUGUAGCUGGUCUGAGAGGACGACCAGCCACACUGGGACUGAGACACGGCCCAGACUCCUACGGGAGGCAGCAGUGGGGAAUUUUGGACAAUGGGCGAAAGCCUGAUCCAGCAAUGCCGCGUGCAGGAUGAAGGCCUUCGGGUUGUAAACUGCUUUUGUACGGAACGAAAAGGCUCUGGCUAAUACCUGGGGCACAUGACGGUACCGUAAGAAUAAGCACCGGCUAACUACGUG